rnacentral:sRNA from 1 species
ACUAAGACAUGGACCCUGAAGAAGCACUUUGUUGGCUAUCCUACUAAUAGUGACUUUGAGUUGAAGACAGCUGAGCUCCCACCCUUAAAAAAUGGAGAUUCGCAGCCAGAAGUUUGAAGGAAGGUGAUAAAAUGAUGGGGCAGCAAGUGGCCAGGUAAUUAUUUCCAUUUGUCCCAAUGCUUGGAAAAUAUAUCUCCUCUACCUCCUGCUGGGUCCUGUCUCUGUCCAUUGCUCCUACAAUUUCUUCAGCCUGUGUUGUUCACUCACUGUGUGAUCUUGGAAUCAACUUGGGAAAUUCUGUCCCCUUCCUGACUAGCUGGAAAGGAGAGAAGGAUGUGAAAUUGUCAUUUUUU